rnacentral:tRNA from 1 species
UAGGCGGCAGGUUGUAGCCCUGUGCAUGCGGGUUUAAUCCCGUCCUUAUCAA